AGAUAUCGGAAGUCGUGCGCAUUGACCUGUGCAGUUACAUUCAACUUGAGCAUCGGUGUGACGAGGAUCUUCGUUUCUACCUCAUCCUUCUAGAGUGUCCGGUCUUCAGGUAUCCUCAUUUUGAGUGGUGCCGGAAGGUUUUGACCGCUAUAGGCAGGUUGAUGAUACAUGAUUCCGGCAAUGGGAAUCAUUUGAGCCGACUGGUCUGCUGGUGGAAAUUCGAACCCUUGUCAUUUCGCGAGACAGUCGUAACCUAUCGGGAAGCUGUUGGCACUUUCGUAGAAAUCCCUUCGCUCCUAGACCUUGAAAAAGAUGACUUCAAGAUCUAUCUAGAAGUACUGCAAUGUCUCAACCAGAUAAAUAUCCAGCAUGACCUCGUUUCUAUUAAGACGUUCUACAUUACCGAUCUGACAUUCGCCGACCUUAUAAGUGCAUUAGAUCACUUCAUGCA